rnacentral:rRNA from 1 species
GGGGUUUCCAUAUGAGGCGGGCUGGACCUCUCGGGGUUACAGCCUUGCUGAAUUAUUCACCCUUGUCUUUUGCGUACUUCUUGUUUCCUUGGUGGGUUCGCCCACCACUAGGACAAACAUAAACCUUUUGUAAUUGCAAUCAGCGUCAGUAACAAAUUAAUAAUUACAACUUUCAACAACGGAUCUCUUGGUUCUGGCAUCGAUGAAGAACGCAGCGAAAUGCGAUAAGUAGUGUGAAUUGCAGAAUUCAGUGAAUCAUCGAAUCUUUGAACGCACAUUGCGCCCUUUGGUAUUCCAAAGGGCAUGCCUGUUCGAGCGUCAUUUGUACCCUCAAGCUUUGCUUGGUGUUGGGCGUCUUGUCUCUAGCUUUGCUGGAGACUCGCCUUAAAGUAAUUGGCAGCCGGCCUACUGGUUUCGGAGCGCAGCACAAGUCGCACUCUCUAUCAGCAAAGGUCUAGCAUCCAUUAAGCCUUUUUUUCAACUUUUGACCUCGGAUCAGGUAGGGAUACCCGCUGAACUUAAGCAUAUCAAUAAGCGGAGGAA